UUACAAAAUUCGUAACUCCAAAUAUUUCUGGUUAUAAUCUCGAAAUGCUAUUUAUUGUCUCUAGCAUAACAGGACACACCAAUCCUUUGUAUUGGUCUAGUAUGUGAUUUCAACAAAGUCAUUUUUGGAACGGUAUUCGCGAAACGAUACCAUCUAGAAGUGUUGUUUGUAGAACGUACCUUUAAUUGCAAUAUUAUCAGCUGGCAGAACUGCGCUGUAGUCUCGAAAUUAAGGUCCGGACUAACUCUUGUUGGAGUGAUUUGUUAUUUCAUAUGUGAUGAAAUACAUAUUCAAUUAGUUGUUUCUUGAUAGGAAAUUGGUCGUACGAAGAGGUUGUUUAGUAUUCCUAGUAAAUAGGAAUCGAAUCAUAGGCUAAAUGGCAUGAUUUGGAAUUGUUUUAGAAAACAGGUUUUGUGAUUGGUCGCUGAUUACAUUCCUGUAAAGUGUAAAUAUAUUUAUUUUUAGUCUUGUUGUUUUGGUAGGCACUGACGGAAAAACGUCAGGGUAAAGGAUCACUUCCGGAAGGUGGAAUUUGGAGGUUGCGGGUAGAUUUCUUUGGGGAAGAUAUAGGUCGCCGGUGGAAAAAAGUUUAACUGGUCCAACGUUAGGGUAAUAUCACUAGAGAGUGUCAGUGUCCGUUAGUAGAUGCGGGAUUUCACCCCUCGUGGAAAUAAUCCGUUCAUUGUGUCUGGAAGUAGUCAAUGGAAGCAGGAUUGAGGAAGCUUGUUUGCAUGCCUGAUUCCGGUAACUAGUUCACGUGGCCAUCUUCUACAUAGAAAAAAAAAUCUCGACUCUGUCGAGAUUUUUGUUCUGGUUGUAAGAAUCAACCUAUUAAUCAAAAGUAGAUUUGAGGUUCAUCUAAGGGCUGUCCCCUUGAGUAGGUUAGUCAAUCUUGAGAUGCGGAAUUCUUUCAUCAACCGUAUUCUCCACUGUUUGCUGGUACUGGUAUUCGUCUAGAAAAAGAUUGUAUUACUCACUCUGGAAAAACAGCAGAAGGCUGAAGUGAAGUCAGAGCAAUGGCAUGGUAUCAUCAGAAUGCUAGGCUAAGUAUUCAUUGUCAAGGUAACCUCUUCGCAGUGUUGAAUAUGACUAUUUGGAGUUUAUUAUGAGCGUAAUUCACAAUCAAAGUGUUGAUAUGAAGAAAGGGUUAUAAUAUUAGUUUUUCCCAAGAGUAACUGUACGCUUUCAGCAAUUGCUUUAAGUCCCUACUCAGUAUAGUUUAGACAUUCAUUUACAUUUACGUAGAUACCGAAUAAGUAUCUCAAAAUUCAGACAAAAAGAUUGAUAAUCUAGUCAAGUUUAAUGUAUAUAUGUAUAGACACACAAAUAGUGUAGUUUUCAAGUUUCAACCUAUUUUUCAGAGAUAAGUUCUGGGGUUAUGUUUUGUGUACAGUAUUAAAACGUUUAAUUUCAUUUUUUUUAUGGUAACGAGCCAUCAAAUUCUGACAGAGGUAGCAAAUAGAUUCCUGAUCACCUGA